AAACCAGCACCUCAAGUGGUCAGGAGGAUUAUUGGGCCUAAAGCAUCCGUAGCCUGUUCUAUAAGUUUCCGGUUAAAUCCAUUAGCUCAACUAAUGGGCUGCCGAAAAUACUGCAAAACUAGGGAGUGGGAGAGGUAGACGGUACUCGGUAGGAAGGGGUAAAAUCCUUUGAUCUAUUGAUGACCACCUGUGGCGAAGGCGGUCUACCAGAACACGUUCGACGGUGAGGGAUGAAAGCUGGGGGAGCAAACCGGAUUAGAAACCCGGGUAGUCC
rnacentral:rRNA from 1 species